AGCUUCUUUCCUGGGAAAUCUUUUUCAGCACCCAGAUUUCGGUUGUACGGACCCAUGUGAGACGGGAUACUCUUCUGGGCAGCUGAAGCAAGGAAGAGCAGGGCCAAAAUCCAUGAUCCACAGCGGCCACCUUGUGUCUAACAAGUCGGAGGCUCACAAGGGGAUUGAGGAGUCAUGGAGGAAGACCGUAAAGGAUGCAGGUCGUUACCUGAUCACAGGUGCAUAUUAAACAGAGCCACGGGGUGAGUCUUGUAUUACAUCUGCCACCGCUGUAAGAGACAUACGGGUCUAAUGCCCACCCGAAAAGAACCCCUUCCCC